rnacentral:rRNA from 1 species
UACGGGAGGCAGCAGUGAGGAAUAUUGGUCAAUGGACGGUAGUCUGAACCAGCCAAGUCGCGUGAGGGAUGACGGCCCUACGGGUUGUAAACCUCUUUUGCCGGGGAGUAACCCGUCCCACGCGUGGGGCGCUGAGAGUACCCGGCGAAUAAGCAUCGGCUAACUCCGUGCCAGCAGCCGCGGUAAU